AGAGGGAAACAACCCAGACUACCAGCUAAGGUCCCUAAAUCUUACUUAAGUGGAAAACGAUGUGAAGUUACUUAAACAACCAGGAGGUUGGCUUAGAAGCAGCCAUCCUUUAAAGAAAGCGUAAUAGCUCACUGGUCUAGUGAUUUUGCGCGGAAAAUAUAACGGGGCUAAAGUAAGUACCGAAGCUGUAGACUUGCGCACAACUUAGAUUAUUUAAGUUUAGAAUAUGAGAAACUAAGUUAUAUGUUUAGUUAUAUUUUUACUGAUUUUUAUAGAGUAAAGAUAGAAAUAAAACUUAGUAAAAUCAGUAAAAAUAUUCUUAGACUAAAGUUAAGUAGUUUAAGUUGUGUGCAAGUGGUAGGAGAGCGUUCUAUUUGCGUCGAAGGUAUACCGGUAAGGAGUGCUGGAGCGAAUAGAAGUGAGCAUGCAGGCAUGAGUAGCGAUAAUUAAUGUGAGAAUCAUUAACGCCGUAAACCCAAGGUUUCCUACGCGAUGCUCGUCAUCGUAGGGUUAGUCGGGUCCUAAGCCGAGUCCGAAAGGGGUAGGCGAUGGCAAAUUGGUUAAUAUUCCAAUACCAACAUUAGUGUGCGAUGGAAGGACGCUUAGGGCUAAGGGGGCUAGCGGAUGGAAGUGCUAGUCUAAGGUCGUAGGAGGUUAUACAGGCAAAUCCGUAUAACAAUACUCCGAGAACUGAAAGGCUUUUUGAAGUCUUCGGAUGGAUAGAAGAACCCCUGAUGCCGUCGAGCCAAGAAAAGUUUCUAAGUUUAGCUAAUGUUGCCCGUACCGUAAACCGACACAGGUGGGUGGGAUGAGUAUUCUAAGGCGCGUGGAAGAACUCUCUUUAAGGAACUCUGCAAAAUAGCACCGUAUCUUCGGUAUAAGGUGUGGUUCGCUUCGUACUAGGAUUUACUCCGAAAGCGAAGAAACUUACAACAAAGAGUCCCUCCCGACUGUUUACCAAAAACACAGCACUCUGCUAACUCGUAAGAGGAUGUAUAGGGUGUGACGCCUGCCCGGUGCUCGAAGGUUAAUUGAUGGGGUUAGCAUUAGCGAAGCUCUUGAUCGAAGCCCGAGUAAACGGCGGCCGUAACUAUAACGGUCCUAAGGUAGCGAAAUUCCUUGUCGGUUAAAUACCGACCUGCAUGAAUGGCGUAACGAGAUGGGAGCUGUCUCAAAGAGGGAUCCAGUGAAAUUGUAGUGGAGGUGAAAAUUCCUCCUACCCGCGGCAAGACGGAAAGACCCCGUGGACCUUUACUACAGCUUGACACUGCUACUUGGAUAAGAAUGUGCAGGAUAGGUGGGAGGCUUUGAGUAUAUGACGCCAGUUGUAUAUGAGCCAUUGUUGAGAUACCACUCUUUCUUAUUUGGGUAGCUAACCAGCUUGAGUUAUCCUCAAGUGGGACAAUGUCUGGUGGGUAGUUUGACUGGGGCGGUCGCCUCCCAAAUAAUAACGGAGGCUUACAAAGGUUGGCUCAGAACGGUUGGAAAUCGUUCGUAGAGUAUAAAGGUAUAAGCCAGCUUAACUGCAAGACAUACAAGUCAAGCAGAGACGAAAGUCGGUCUUAGUGAUCCGGUGGUUCUGUGUGGAAGGGCCAUCGCUCAAAGGAUAAAAGGUACCCCGGGGAUAACAGGCUGAUCUCCCCCAAGAGCUCACAUCGACGGGGAGGUUUGGCACCUCGAUGUCGGCUCAUCGCAUCCUGGGGCCGGAGCAGGUCCCAAGGGUAUGGCUGUUCGCCAUUUAAAGCGGUACGCGAGCUGGGUUCAGAACGUCGUGAGACAGUUCGGUCCCUAUCUGCCGUGGGCGUAAGAAGAUUGAAGAGAUUUGACCCUAGUACGAGAGGACCGGGUUGAACAAACCACUGGUGUAGCUGUUGUUCUGCCAAGAGCAUCGCAGCGUAGCUAAGUUUGGAAAGGAUAAACGCUGAAAGCAUCUAAGCGUGAAGCCAACUCUAAGAUGAAUCUUCUCUAAGCUCUCUAGAAGACUACUAGUUUGAUAGGCUGGGUGUGUAAUGGAUGAAAGUCCUUUAGCUGACCAGUACUAAUAGAGCGUUUGGCUUAUCUUUAAUAAAGCAU
rnacentral:rRNA from 1 species